rnacentral:rRNA from 1 species
AUGACCCUUAAAUCUUGCGGUGUGGUAGUUAAGAUUGUCCCUUGGUCGGCCAACAUUGGAGCUAAGGAAGCCAUGGAGAUGGCAUGGGUAAAACUUGCUAAUAUUCCCCUAGAAAGAAGGAAUGAGAGGAAUGUUGCUUAUGUUUCUUCCCUGGUGGGCGUCCCACUUGAGAUCGACAUGGCCACCCUGCAUAAGCCUGAAUUUGCCAGGGUCCGGUUGGGCUGUCGCAGUGUGGACGAGCUCCCUGGGGUUGCUGAGGCAGUGUUGGGCACGCACUUCUUUGAUUUCUUCUAUGAAAUCGAGAAGGUGUUGGUGCGUGAUCCAAAAAGAGAAAGGAAGGAUGUGUAG